rnacentral:misc_RNA from 1 species
GCAAACUUGGUCAUUUAGAGGAAGUAAAAGUCGUAACAAGGUUUCCGUAGGUGAACCUGCGGAAGGAUCAUUAACCUUUCAAAAAACAGGGUGCGUCGCGGCCCCCCUCCGGGGGCGGUUUGGGGUCCUCCCCUUCACGCGCGCACGACUGCAUCCUUACUUUACGAGCACCUUCUGUUCUCCCUCGGCGGGGCAACCUGCCGUUGGAACCGAAUAAACCCUUUUUUGCAUCCAGCAUUACCCGUUCCGAAACAAACAAUCGUUACAACUUUCAACAAUGGAUCUCUUGGCUCUGGCAUCGAUGAAGAACGCAGC